GUUGUAUGAGUGUGAGCAUUUUACAUAACAAAUAUUGGAACGAAAGUUGUAAAAGUUGCAUUCAAAAUAAUGUCAGUUAAAGUGUUUAUAUUAUUAAAUAAUUAAUAAUAUUGUACAUUCAAAUUUACUUUUAAUUUUUUUUUUGAUUAAAAAUGAGUAUUAAAAUAUAUGCAUUGUCAUCGAGUACGUCUCGUAUUUUUACGACAACAGACCCGUUUCCGAUCUCCAUAGUAACGACAGCGCUGGAUUUCCCAAAAUGACGAACAAUGGAAUAUGGGACGUGCCGAGGGCGGCUUUGCCACUCGCAAACGGAUUUUUUAACUACAGAAACCAGUCAGAAGCAGAAGUUGAUUAGUGUCUAUUCAAAAACCGACAGCAGAAUACAUCUACAAAUGAAGUUCGGGAAGGAAUUUUGCAGGCUUCUGGAUGUGCUGUAGAGGAGUUCUCAUGAUAAAGACAGAUUACCAGCAAGGAGGUUUUUUAUUGCCAGAGCAUAUGCUACACAUAUACUACAAAUUUUGGCCAUCAAUGGAGAAAACCACUUCAACCAGUACAUAUUUACAUGUUCAUGUACUACCAAAGACUCCAAUUCAUCCAAAAGUAAGAGAGAUAACAGUACUGGAAUUAGAACCUGGGGAAUGAAAAUGUACCACAAUGACAAAGAGUGAGGUGAAAGCAGUAAACAUAAGGACAGAUUCUAUACAAGCUCUUUGGAUUUUUUGUCUACCAAUGACAGUGUGGUGGAACUUGGUCGAAAUAUAAGAAAUUAUGAUGUUCCUGUACUUUUUCAUGCAUUGAUAUACUUGUGAAAAUAUGGGGAAAAAUGUCACACAGGUUCAUAGUUUUCUAGAUACUCUUCCAUUAUUUAAACUAGUCAAGUUUUGUCUGAGCUCAUGAAACAACAGUCUGAGCUCAUAAUACAACAUAAUUAUAAUAAUUGUUUUAUAUGCUUGUAAUGAAAGUUCAGGUAUAACAUUUAUUUCAUAAAAUUUGUACAAUAUUCAUUUCAAUACAUAUUGUAUAAUUUGGAAAUGUUAUUGGAAUAAUUUUAUUAGUAAACAUGAAAAUUUUGCAGAGAAAGGAUGUUCAGAGGAAAUUUGGGCUGAAUAUUUUCUAAAUAGCUCCACUCUUUUUUUCUGAAACUUGGACUCAUUGAUUGAUUGUUGUCAUAUUUCAUGUAAAACCUAUGCAUUUUUUGUUUCCAUUAGUCUGCAUGUACUAAGUAAAUUAUGUGACAAGGAUUCAUAUUUCUCAUAUCUCAUUGUUAGUCAAUGGACAAUAAUAGCUAGCAUUGUAAGGUCGUACACUGUGAAACAUCAACUUUUAAUAUAUUUUGUUUUUUAUUUUACAAAUAAAAGUUGUUCAGGUAAUUUAUAGAUCAUAAAAUUGUGCCAUGUUCAUUUUUCAUUUAGAUUGUUUUUAUUGAAAUGUAACUGAUUUUAGAGAAGUCGUAAGCAUGAAAAUUUUGCAGAGAAAAGUUGAUCAGAGGAAUUUCUGGCUAAUUAUUUUCAAAAUGGCUCCACUCUUUUUUCUUAAACUUGGACAAAAUAAUUAAUUGCUGAACAUUAUAGUUCAUGUAAAGACUUUGCAUUUUUUAUUUCCAUUACUCUGCAUAUUGUAAAAUAUGUGAUAACAAUUCAUAUAUUUCUCAUAUUUUAUUGUUUCGAAUCAUAGGACAGUAUAGAUGGCUAUGGAGGACAUUUAAUGAAACAACAUUUUUUUAUUUUACAAAUGAAUAUUGUUUAGAUAAAAUAU